rnacentral:rRNA from 1 species
GACGAACGCUGGCGGCGUGCUUAACACAUGCAAGUCGAACGAAGUGGCGAACGGGUUAGUAAUACGUGGGUAACCUGCCAUCCUUUUUGGGAUAAGCCUUGGAAACGGGGUCUAAUACCGAAUAAAGGGGGAUGGGCUCGCGGCCUAUCAGCUGGUUGGUGGGGUGAUGGCCUACCAAGGCGGUGCAGGGUAGCCGGCCUGAGAGGGUGACCGGGAACAUAGGUACGGGGAUGCGGCCCAGACGCCGACGGAGGGCGGCAGAUGGGGCUAUUGCAGAAAGGGUGAAGGCCUGAUGCAGCGACGCCGCGUGGGGGAUGAAGGUUUUCGAGUUGUAAACGUCUUUCGGUAUCGAACGGGUAGGUGGAGAAGAAGCGCCGGCUAACUACGUGCCAGCAGCCGCGGUAAUUC